rnacentral:tRNA from 1 species
GGAGGGAUGGCUGAGCGGUUGAAAGCGACAGUCUUGAAAACUGUUGGGCCGAAAGGCCUCGUGGGUUCGAAUCCCACUCCCUCCU